GGCAGCAGUAGGGAAUCUUCCACAAUGGGCGAAAGCCUGAUGGAGCAAUGCCGCGUGAGUGAAGAAGGUUUUCGGAUCGUAAAACUCUGUUGUUGAAGAAGAACAUGCGUGAGAGUAACUGUUCACGUACUGACGGUAUUCAACCAGAAAGCCACGGCUAACUACGUGCCAGCAGCCGCGGUAAUACGUAGGUGGCAAGCGUUGUCCGGAUUUAUUGGGCGUAAAGAGAAUGUAGGCGGUUUAUUAAGUUUGAAGUGAA
rnacentral:rRNA from 1 species